UUGCAUGAACAGCAGGUGUCUCCAGCAAGGGGAUAAGUCAGGCCUGGGAGGAACCCUGCCCAGCCUCAGGACCUCAGGGAACAGAAUCGAGGCACCUCCACCAUGGCCUGGACCCCUCUCCUCCUCGGCCUCCUCGCUCACUGCACAGGCUCCGUGGCCUCCUAUGUGCUCACUCAGCCCCCAUCAGUGGCAGUGAACCUGGGACAGACGGCCAGGAUCACGUGUGGAGGAAACAACAUUGGAAGAAAAUAUGCUUACUGGUACCAGCAGAAGUCAGGCCAGGCCCCUGUGCUGAUUAUCUAUGAGGACAGCAACCGGCCCUCAGGGAUCCCUGACCGAUUCUCAGGCACCAACUCGGGGAACACGGCCACCCUGACCAUCAGCGGGGCCCGGGCCGAGGACGAGGCUGACUAUUACUGUCAGGUGUGGGACAGCAGUAGUGAUGCUCACAGUGACACAGGCAGAUGGGGAAUCCCAGGACCACACUCUGAGUGGCCUCACUCCUGCUCCCGUGCUGCUCCCGCACAGGCUCUAUGCAGCCCCUGACAUGAUGCUGACUUGCUCUGUGUCAGGGGCCCUGGGCAGGCCCAAGAUCCUCUGCUCUGCAGAUGAGCUCGGGAGUGAACAUGCCUCUUGGUACCAGCAGAAGCCAAGCCUGGUCCCCGAGCUGGUAAUACAUACAGAUGUGAGCAACCAUCUGGUUCUGAUUCUGAGGACAGUACUUAGGGACAUGGCCUACUGA